UACGAAGGGGGCUAGCGUUGCUCGGAAUCACUGGGCGUAAAGGGUGCGUAGGCGGGUCUGUAAGUCAGGGGUGAAAUCCUGGAGCUCAACUCCAGAACUGCCUUUGAUACUGAGGAUCUUGAGUAUGGGAGAGGUGAGUGGAACUGCGAGUGUAGAGGUGAAAUUCGUAGAUAUUCGCAAGAACACCAGUGGCGAAGGCGGCUCACUGGCCCAUUACUGACGCUGAGGCACGAAAGCGUGGGGAGCAAACAGG
rnacentral:rRNA from 1 species